rnacentral:rRNA from 1 species
GCAGCCAUCAUUUAAAGAAAGCGUAAUAGCUCACUGGUCGAGUCGGCCUGCGCGGAAGAUGUAACGGGGCUAAACCAUGCACCGAAGCUGCGGCAGCGACGCUUAUGCGUUGUUGGGUAGGGGAGCGUUCUGUAAGCCUGUGAAGGUGGCCUGUGAGGGUUGCUGGAGGUAUCAGAAGUGCGAAUGCUGACAUAAGUAACGAUAAAGCGGGUGAAAAGCCCGCUCGCCGGAAGACCAAGGGUUCCUGUCCAACGUUAAUCGGGGCAGGGUGAGUCGACCCCUAAGGCGAGGCCGAAAGGCGUAGUCGAUGGGAAACGGGUUAAUAUUCCCGUACUUGGUGUUACUGCGAAGGGGGGACGGAGAAGGCUAUGUUGGCCGGGCGACGGUUGUCCCGGUUUAAGCGUGUAGGUGUGUGUUCCAGGUAAAUCCGGUUCACUUUAACACUGAGGCGUGAUGACGAGGCACUACGGUGCUGAAGCAACAAAUGCCCUGCUUCCAGGAAAAGCCUCUAAGCAUCAGGUAACAUCAAAUCGUACCCCAAACCGACACAGGUGGUCAGGUAGAGAAUACCAAGGCGCUUGAGAGAACUCGGGUGAAGGAACUAGGCAAAAUGGUGCCGUAACUUCGGGAGAAGGCACGCUGACACGUAGGUGAAGUGAUUUACUCAUGGAGCUGAAGUCAGUCGAAGAUACCAGCUGGCUGCAACUGUUUAUUAAAAACACAGCACUGUGCAAACACGAAAGUGGACGUAUACGGUGUGACGCCUGCCCGGUGCCGGAAGGUUAAUUGAUGGGGUCAGCGCAAGCGAAGCUCCUGAUCGAAGCCCCGGUAAACGGCGGCCGUAACUAUAACGGUCCUAAGGUAGCGAAAUUCCUUGUCGGGUAAGUUCCGACCUGCACGAAUGGCGUAAUGAUGGCCAGGCUGUCUCCACCCGAGACUCAGUGAAAUUGAACUCGCUGUGAAGAUGCAGUGUACCCGCGGCAAGACGGAAAGACCCCGUGAACCUUUACUAUAGCUUGACACUGAACAUUGAGCCUUGAUGUGUAGGAUAGGUGGGAGGCUUUGAAGUGUGGACGCCAGUCUGCAUGGAGCCGACCUUGAAAUACCACCCUUUAAUGUUUGAUGUUCUAACGUGGACCCGUGAUCCGGGUUGCGGACAGUGUCUGGUGGGUAGUUUGACUGGGGCGGUCUCCUCCUAAAGAGUAACGGAGGAGCACGAAGGUUGGCUAAUCCUGGUCGGACAUCAGGAGGUUAGUGCAAUGGCA